rnacentral:lncRNA from 1 species
UAUUAAAUAUUUUAUAUAUUGUAUAAAUAAACAAAAAUAAAUUAUGUAUAUAUAUAUAAUUUAUUCGGGUUUGAAUUCGGAUAAUAUUUCGGAUAUCCAUAACUAUUGACAUCCCUACUCCUUAUUCCACUUUUCAAUAUACAAAAAAUAUGUAACAAAAAAUACGUACUAAACAUGGUGAACCAUUCACCGUGUUCAAACACGGUGAAUGGUUCACCGUGUUCAACUUAACACACCGGCCCAGCCUGGCCCGCGUGACGCUGACGUGGCGCAUGUAUGGCAGGCCCAAGGUCAUUUUUGCAAAUUAAAUUUUGACAGGGCUAUUUUUAAAAUAAAAAUUUGCCAGUAGUCUAAAUGUAAAAAAAAGUCCUGAAGAAUGUCUUAUAGAAUUACCUAGAAAAUAAGAUAAUAGAAAAAAAUAACAAAAUUAACUAAAGAUGCAUAAUAAAGCUAACUAAAGAAGUAAAACUCGUUUGGAUCGCGGGAUAAGCGGGGAUAACAAAAGUUAUCCCCGCUAUUCCGCCAAACGGGGUGAAAUU